AAUAUUUCGCAAUGGAGGGAACGCUGAUGCAGCAACGCCGCGUGAGUGAAGAAGGUUUUCGGAUCGGAAAACUCCGUCAUUGGGGAAGAAUAAAUGACGGUACCCAAUGAUGAAGCCCCGGCUAACUACGUGCCAGCAGCCGCGGUCAUACGUAGGGGGCGAGCGUUGUCCGGAAUUACUGGGCGUAAAGGGUACGUAGGCGGCUAUAUAAGUCAGGUGUGAAAUACCAGUGCUUAACAAUGGAAUUGCAUUUGAAACUGUGUAGCUUGAGUGCAGGAGAGGAAAGUGGAAUUCCUAGUGUAGCGGUGAAAUGCGUAGAGAUUAGGGGGAACACCAGUGGCGAAGGCGACUUUCUGGACUAUAACUGACGCUGAGGUACGAAAGCGUGGGUAGCGAGCA
rnacentral:rRNA from 1 species